CCUCGUCGAGCCAGUCGGGCGGGAAGGCGCUAGGCUCCUCCCUGCUGGCGGCUGUAGCAGCGACGCAGGCCGCCUCGCUGGGCUUUUCUGGCCUGGGUCCUCGGCGUCGCGGAGUUUCUGGGCGGAUUUUACCACGUGCGCCUUGCCGAAUCUGCAUGCAGUACCAGGGGUACUCCUACGGUGCCAUUCCAGACUUUCAUGCGAAGCUCCCGCUUCAGUCCGGAACACGGAGCCACCGGAUGCCAGAGCCCGGCCUUAAGACAUGGAGCAGAAACCAAGCAGACAUGUGGAAUGCCCAUUACACGCUACGUGCCACUCUGUGCUUUGGGGUACAGCAUGAUACAAGACAGACGGACUGCCUCAUGAAACCCACUCUAGUGAACCUGAGUGGACAGAAAUGUAGCCCUGUAACUCCUACACUCAGAUUGAACUGGUCAUGAUUACCUAAGGAGGAUCAAGAAGACUACUGCUAAUCUGGGGACUACUUUUAAAAAUACUUGUGACAAACGUGGGGGAGAAAAGGAAGAAGAAAAGGCGUAAGGGCAAUGCAUGAAGUGAAAGAUGCAUUCAAAAAGGAGAGGGAGAAGGAAAGAGGAGAGGAAGAUAGAAGAGGAAGAAGAAAUAGAUAGGUAAACUCAUUUGAAGAGAAAUUCCUCUAAGCCUGGUGCUCCAGUGAAUUUGGAAACACAUCUGUUUGGAAGGAAAGGGACAAGUCAUUUUUGGGAAAAUGAAAGGAGCUUCAUGGAUGAGAACUGCAGAAUAUGGGGUCAGAGGAUCUUUCAUGUUCUAAGUUAUGAAAUUACCAACACAGUUUUUCAUAAUGUUUAUUGAACAGGCAUGCUCAGAUUUCUCUAGAGUAAGCAUUCCAAUCAAUUGCGAUAGCUACUAAUUCCAGAUAAGGCAAAGCUUAAGAAAUACAUAGGUUGGUAUGACUGAGCAGUUGUUAGCUAGAAAUGUACCUUCCAUUUACUGAAAUGAUUAUGAAUUAAGCCUGGCAGCUGCUUAUCAACUAAAUUUUUUGAAGUACCACAUCAGUAUUGCUUUAUUCAUUAAAAAAAAAUUAGGGAGAUAAAAGUCAAAAAUCAGAUUUUCUGCUAUUAUGUAAGUAAUGAGUGCAAAGCAGCCUGAAUUGUAAGAUGG